UUCCGGUUGAUCCCGCCGGAGGUUACUGCUUUCGGUGUUCGACUAAGCCAUGCAAGUCAUAUGUUCCUCGUGAACAUGGCAUACUGCUCAGUAACACGUGGAUAACCUGCCCUUGGGUCUGGGAUAACCCCGGGAAACUGGGGAUAAUACCGGAUAACGCAUAUGUGCUGGAAUGCUUUAUGCGUAAAACGGAUUCGUCCGCCCAAGGAUGGGUCUGCGGCCUAUCAGGUAGUAGUGGGUGUAAUGUACCUACUAGCCAACAACGGGUACGGGUUGUGAGAGCAAGAGCCCGGAGAUGGAUUCUGAGACAUGAAUCCAGGCCCUACGGGGCGCAGCAGGCGCGAAAACUUUACAAUGCGGGAAACCGUGAUAAGGGAACACCGAGUGCCAGCAUCAUAUGCUGGCUGUCCAGAUGUGUAAACUACAUCUGUUAGCAAGGGCCGGGCAAGACCGGUGCCAGCCGCCGCGGUAACACCGGCGGCCCGAGUGGUGACCGUUAUUAUUGGGUCUAAAGGGUCCGUAGCCGGUUUGGUCAGUCCUCCGGGAAAUCUGAUAGCUUAACUGUUAGGCUUUCAGGGGAAACUGCCAGGCUUGGAACCGG
rnacentral:rRNA from 1 species